rnacentral:pre_miRNA from 1 species
UGGACAGAUUAUUGUAUUCGACUGUAUUCACGGCGUGCAAUAGGGGAUUAUACUGUUUUUAAAAUAAAAAGUGAAUCAAUUAACAUAAUAGACUCCU